CCCCCUGUAGCUCAAUGGCAGAGCGUCCGGCUGUAGACCGGAAGGUUGCAGGUUCAAAUCCAGCCGGGGGGA
rnacentral:tRNA from 4 species